rnacentral:rRNA from 1 species
GCAUGCCUUACACAUGCAAGUCGAACGGCAGCACGGGGGCAACCCUGGUGGCGAGUGGCGAACGGGUGAGUAAUACAUCGGAACGUGUCCUGUAGUGGGGGAUAGCCCGGCGAAAGCCGGAUUAAUACCGCAUACGCUCUGCGGAGGAAAGCGGGGGAUCUUCGGACCUCGCGCUACAGGGGCGGCCGAUGGCAGAUUAGCUGGUUGGUGGGGUAAAGGCCUACCAAGGCGACGAUCUGUAGCUGGUCUGAGAGGACGACCAGCCACACUGGGACUGAGACACGGCCCAGACUCCUACGGGAGGCAGCAGUGGGGAAUUUUGGACAAUGGGCGCAAGCCUGAUCCAGCAAUGCCGCGUGUGUGAAGAAGGCCUUCGGGUUGUAAAGCACUUUUGUCCGCA